AGCUCGACCGGGUCGACCCCGCGCGUGACGACCAGGUAGUCACGCAGCGCGACGCCGUGUCGGUUCUC
rnacentral:sRNA from 1 species